UAAUUCUUAUAGGGCUGACUUUCAGUCUAUUGGAGCUCCUUGUGUUACUUUCAGUAUGUCCUUGAUGGAGGAAUACUGACUAUUGCAAUGGGGGUCGCUUCCUCUUCUUUUAUUCUUGAUAUAUAUACCUCGAUAUAAUGGGCAAGGAGAGAAGAAGAUGUGCAACCAACACACACAGUUGAAAUAUCAGAGAAAGAAUCUCUAC
rnacentral:lncRNA from 1 species